rnacentral:rRNA from 1 species
AUUGAACGCUGGCGGCAGGCCUAACACAUGCAAGUCGAACGGGUGGCGGACGGGUGAGUCAUGUCUGGGAAACUGCCCGAUGGAGGGGGAUAACUACUGGAAACGGUUGCUAAUACCGCAUACCAUCGCUUGUGCCCAGAUGGGAUUAGCUGGUCGGUGGGGUAACGGCUCACAUAGGCGACGAUCCCUAGCUGGUCUGAGAGGAUGACCAGCCACACUGGAACUGAGAAACGGUCCAGACUCCUACGGGAGGCAGCAGGGGGGAAUAUUGCACAAUGGGCGCAAGCCUGAUGGAGCAAUGCCGCGUGUAUGAAGAAGGCCUUCGGGUUGUAAAGUACUUUCGGCGAGGAGGCGUUACUUGAAGAGGAAGCAACGGCUAACUCCGUGCCAGCAGCCGCGGUAAUAC